rnacentral:rRNA from 1 species
AUCGAUGGCCAUGAUACCCUGAACGGGCCCGAUCUCGUCUGAUCUCAGAAGCUAAGCAGGGUCGGGCCUGGGUAGUACUUGGAUGGGAGACCACCUAGGAAGACCAGGUGCUGUAGGUG